UACGUAGGGUGCGAGCGUUAAUCGGAAUUACUGGGCGUAAAGCGUGCGCAGGCGGUUUUGUAAGCCAGAUGUGAAAUCCCCGGGCUUAACCUGGGAAUGGCAUUUGGGACUGCAAGGCUUGGAGUGCGGCAGAGGAGACUGGAAUUCCUGGUGUAGCAGUGAAAUGCGUAGAUAUCAGGAGGAACACCGAUGGCGAAGGCAGGUCUCUGGGCUGACACUGACGCUCACGCACGAAAGCGUGGGGAGCAAACAGG
rnacentral:rRNA from 1 species